rnacentral:misc_RNA from 1 species
CAUGUGACAGCUCGCUGUUGUCGGGAGACUUCAAUUGAUAAACGUUUGUUGUGUUUUUUCGCCGACAUUGCAUUCUUUGUUAAUUUAAAAUGCCCAACGAUCCCCCAGUGAAGCGUUACCGUCGUGAUGACUUAAGUGACUCAGAAUCCGUGGAAGAUCAGUACGUCCCGUACGUUCCCGUGAAAGAAAGGAAGAAGAUGCAGCUCCUGAAAGUUGGUCGCAUCGUCCAGUUGACCGCAGAGGCUGCGGCAGGAACCGCUAAAUCGUCCAGUGAAAACGAGCACGACGAGGAUGGCGGUGAAGAAGUUUGGGGCCGCAAGUUCAACAUCAGUUUACUGGACCAGCACACUGAGCUGAAGAAAAUCGCGGAGGCUCGGAAAAUCAGCGCCGUCGAGAAGCAGCUCAAAGAGGAGGAGAAGAUCCUCGAAAGUGUGGCGGAGAAGAAGGCAUUGAUGGGGGUCGCGGAGUUGGCAAAAGGUAUUCAGUACGAGGACCCGAUAAAGACGAGCUGGAAGCCGCCUCGUUAUAUUUUGGCGAUGCCUGAGAGCAAGCGAGCGUCGAUUCGUGAAAAGUCAAGGAUUCUGGUUGAGGGUGAGGAUGUGCCGCCGCCAAUUUUGUCGUUUCGGGAUAUGAAGUUCCAUCAGGGCAUUCUCAAUGGGCUGCAGAAGAAGGGGAUCAGCAAACCGACGCCGAUACAAGUCCAGGGAAUUCCGACGGUGCUUGCGGGUCGAGAUUUGAUUGGGAUCGCAUUUACCGGUUCCGGGAAGACGCUGGUGUUUGUGCUGCCCAUCAUCAUGUUCUGUUUGGAGCAGGAAGUGUCGUUGCCGUUUGUGAAGAACGAGGGACCUUACGGGCUGAUCAUAUGCCCGUCCAGGGAGUUGGCGAAGCAGACCCACGACAUAAUUCAGUUCUACUGUAAACAAAUCCAAUCGAGUGGCAUGCCCGAGAUACGAAGCUGUUUGGCAAUUGGUGGUUUACCAGUUACAGAAGCCAUGGAACAGAUUCAAAAAGGAAUUCACAUCAUGGUUGCCACCCCCGGUCGACUUAUGGAUAUGUUGGACAAGAAAAUGGUUACUCUGAAUAUUUGUCGUUAUUUAUGUAUGGAUGAGGCUGAUCGUAUGAUUGAUAUGGGCUUUGAGGAGGACGUUCGAACGAUUUUCUCAUUCUUCAAGGGACAACGUCAAACACUUUUGUUUUCGGCUACUAUGCCAAAAAAAAUUCAGAACUUUGCUCGAUCAGCUCUGGUGAAGCCGGUCACUAUUAACGUAGGGCGUGCUGGAGCAGCAUCUUUGAACGUCACUCAGGAAGUUGAAUACGUUAAGCAAGAAGCAAAAAUUGUGUACCUAUUGGAAUGCCUACAGAAGACUGCACCGCCUGUUUUGAUAUUUGCGGAAAAGAAACAAGACGUCGACGCCAUCCAUGAAUAUCUUCUGCUUAAAGGUGUUGAAGCUGUUGCCAUUCACGGCGGCAAAGAUCAAGAAGAACGAUCCCGAGCAGUGGAAGCAUUCCGCAAGCAAGAAAAAGAUGUUCUCGUUGCAACCGAUGUGGCAUCAAAAGGUCUGGACUUUCCAAAUGUUCAACACGUAAUAAACUACGAUAUGCCCGACGAUGUGGAAAAUUACGUACAUCGAAUUGGCAGAACAGGCCGUUCGAUAGGCUCAAAGGGACUCGCCACAACGUUCGUAAAUAAAACUACUGAGCAAUCGGUGUUGCUAGAUUUGAAACAUUUACUGAUCGAAGCCAGACAGAAAGUUCCACCAUUUCUGGCAGAACUUUGCUCUGAAACUGAGAAGUAUUUGGAUCUGGGCGAUUCACAUGGAUGCAGUUAUUGUGGCGGUUUGGGCCAUCGUAUCACUGAAUGUCCGAAACUUGAAGCUGUCCAGAGCAAGCAGGUCUCGAAUAUUGGACGUCGUGAUUAUUUGUCGAACACAGCGGCAGAUUAUUAAAGUGUUUGGAUUUAUUGCUGUGAUUUUUGAUGUUGGCGAAAACUGCAGAACGUUGUAUAUGGAACAAAGCCUGAUAUAUCAAUUGUACUGGUGGAGCAAUCUUCCGUUUUGAGCUUCAUGAUUCACCCUGCAGUAUCCGCCACGAAAAUGUACUUUUCCUUUUUCAAAUGAAAAUUGUAAUUCAAAUGACAAUAGGAUAUUGAAAGAAAUAAUUGGUGCCUACACGUCAAUAUCUAAAUAAGAGUUAAUUUAACAGUAAAUGAAAUACCAAAGUCUGUAGCAUGAAUUACGUAUACAGUUCCUUUCUCAGGGUAUGGUCUUCUGUGUUUUGUUUAUAAUUUUAAGCGUAAAUGUUAAGUAAAUCUAUGAAAUUAUAUUUUUUAAGUAGUGUUUAAACUAUAGAUAUAUAUGUAAGAUUAAUAAUGGAAUUUCAAUAAAUGUACUUUUAA